rnacentral:rRNA from 1 species
UGCAAGUCGAACGGAAAGGCCCUGCUUUUGUGGGGUGCUCGAGUGGCGAACGGGUGAGUAACACGUGAGUAACCUGCCCUUGACUUUGGGAUAACUUCAGGAAACUGGGGCUAAUACCGGAUAGGAGCUCCUGCUGCAUGGUGGGGGUUGGAAAGUUUCGGCGGUUGGGGAUGGACUCGCGGCUUAUCAGCUUGUUGGUGGGGUAGUGGCUUACCAAGGCUUUGACGGGUAGCCGGCCUGAGAGGGUGACCGGCCACAUUGGGACUGAGAUACGGCCCAGACUCCUACGGGAGGCAGCAGUGGGGAAUAUUGCACAAUGGGCGGAAGCCUGAUGCAGCAACGCCGCGUGCGGGAUGACGGCCUUCGGGUUGUAAACCGCUUUCGCCUGUGACGAAGCGUGAGUGACGGUAAUGGGUAAAGAAGCACCGGCUAACUACGUGCCAGCAGCCGCGGUGAUACGUAGGGUGCGAGCGUUGUCCGGAUUUAUUGGGCGUAAAGGGCUCGUAGGUGGUUGAUCGCGUCGGAAGUGUAAUCUUGGGGCUUAACCCUGAGCGUGCUUUCGAUACGGGUUGACUUGAGGAAGGUAGGGGAGAAUGGAAUUCCUGGUGGAGCGGUGGAAUGCGCACAUAUCAGGAGGAACACCAGUGGCGAAAGGGGGUCUCUGGGCCUUU